rnacentral:lncRNA from 1 species
AAAGGGGAAGAGUUUUAUUGCUUGGUGUAUUUGGAAUAAUGCAACAUGACUAUCACAGGGAUUUGUUGUUAUUAUUUAUUACACUUAUUAGUGCUUUGUGUUAUAGAACUUUACAGAGCUGUAAAUAAUUCAUAGCGAGAAAAAGUGGGGAAAGACAUUGGUGCAUGUCAGGACAGAAAAUUUCCAGUUCAGUUAUGAUGCAGCAGUGAUCAUGUUCACCUUUCAAGUGAAGUGUCAGUGAGUUUUGGAGUUCGGAUAUCUCCUUGUCAAAAUUGAUGAAGUCAAGAUUCUUACACAACUUCUACUUGUAGAUUACAAUUUUAGCAUCACAUAGUGUCAUAAUGAAGUGAUCAGCUCAUUGUGAAGCGGUUAAGUCAAUUUAACAAGAAAGGUCCUCAGAAAUAGGUGAGAGUGCUGAAACCAAAGCCAUCUAAAAUGAUGCUAUGUAGAGAAUAUUUUCUGUUGUACUUGUCAUGCUCAUAAAGUGAGAUCUCUAACAAGAGAAUUUACGAUUUGAACUCAUUGAGCAUUCUUUGCUUCUUGUAAUAUGCAUUACUACGAAAUUUGGAGUCGUUGCACCAGAUGUCAAAUUGUCAAUUAACUAUCAGUUGCACCAUUCGAAAACUAUUGUGGCAAUUUUAAUGUGUUAUUUUGUAAACAGCAAGUAUACUUUCAAUGCCGAUCAAUUGAUUGGUGGAUGUAUCAAGACGUGGCAGUGACUAUAUUGAAAGAGACACUAUAAUCUGUGUUUAAAUAGAGUUCUUCUGUUGAAAAUUGAAACAACUAAGUGACUCCUUGGGCCACUCUCAGCCACUAUGCCCAGUCUUAUCUUAUUUUUCACUUUUAUUUGUCCACGAUCUGCUAUGCUAUUACCUGCUAGCAUCACUGUCUUGUGAUUCGUGUCAUGAUAGGCGUGGCAGGGUCGCCAUGGAGUUUUCCUUUGGCAUGGGCAUCUUGAUUUAACGUUGUAUAGGUU